AAAAAUUUUAAAAUAAAUCCAGAGGCAGUGGGCCGAUCUCCGUACGCCGCAAAACCCCCCAAAAUCCCAGAGCGGUCGUUUUCUAACUUUUCUGGGUUUUCUUUCUUCCUCUGUUUUCCUGCGCGCCAACCACCACUAUCAGAGGCAUGGCCCUCGGAGUGAAAAUCAAGCUUAAGCCAAGAAGAUUUACGCGUUUGAUGAGUGUGAAGAAGGCUGACAUUUGAUGACUAUCAAGUAAAAAUCCACCAAUUGAAGCUACUAAAAGAGGUCAAUAAUUCAUGCAGAAUAUAUCAAAAGCAUGGAUGCACAUUUGUUAUCACUUAAAAGAACUUGAGCAAUAGGUUUCUGCAAGAGAUCUAUUUUUCGAAUGUGUUGCGGGUUUCUUUAUUUGUAAAAUGAAAAUUGAAUCUGCUUCUGCUUUAAUUUUGCGAUCAAAUGAAUUCUAUAUGUUUAGCAUAUAAAUGUAGUUCUUAUGUUUUAUUUGCCUUUUCAUUCUAUUGUUAUUUCUAGUUGUUCUGCUGGUCACCCAAAAAAAAAAAAAACUUUGUUUAUUUA